GAGAACAUUACCCAUGUAACAUGGAUGGAAGAACCACACACUUUAAUAAUACCAAAUUUGCAAGACCUCUGUGGGUCUAACUGAAUAUAAGGAAAAAGUAUGAAGAUAAUUCAGAACUGAACCAGGUUGGAGAUAGAAUUGGAAUUUCUGUCCUCAGAGGUUUCUAAAAUCCAAGUGGAAAAAGCCCUGAGGACCCUGUUCUGAAUUCAGCUGAUGCUGUUUUGGGGAGUUUGUUGGUUUGGAUAUCUCUUCCAGUCUGUAGGAAUCCACUGUUUGUGUGCAGCCUGCCAUUUCAGCAGUCACCAGUGAUACCUGUGUGCAGGGCAACCAGUGCCAGAAAUACCUCGAGCAAAGGCAAAAGGGAGUGCAGAGCGCUGCUCACAUUCUGCAGUUCAAAGCUGGAUGUACUAUGCAGGCAUGAAGUUCACACAGGAGCAGUAACACUGAGACAGUGCCAAGGCUUUUGUUGUUUCUGCCCCUGCCCUGCCCUGCUAGAGAAGCACAGAGUAAGCAGAAGCACCACGUCCUCCCCUCUAACUGACCACGGGCUGCCCCACCAGAAAAGAGAUGAGCAGAAACACUGUGGGCAGUAUGAGCACAGGAACACUGCAUCUGCAGAGAGAAGGCUCAUAACAGCUGCUUCAGAGGGGAUGCAACCACUUUGCUCCAGGCAGAGGCAGCACAUCUGUGGACACUGGAAUUCCCAGGACAUGGUAGUUGAGCUGCCCGGUUUGGAUGAGAGCCAGUAUUUCAUUGAAGAGUAAUUCUGGUAUUGAAGUACAUAUUUGAGUUUAAAAAAUCCAAACAAUCAACACUCACACCAAGUUGUGAAACUCUACUUGGUGUUGGCUUUGUCUUAAAACAGCUUUCUAAAACUCUGAAUGGAGAAAGAAACAAUAAAACCAAAGAAAUUUUAUUGAGCACUCAGAGUUCUUGGCCAUAUUGCAACAUAAUAGGAAAAAAAAUUUUUUCCCUCUAGAGGUUAGAAAACAGGGCUAUCUGUCUAAAGAGAAACUGCAUAUUGAAACUGUAACUGACUUUAAUUCUGGAUACAUUCCUUAAAUCCAUAAUGGAGCUUGGAAAAACUCCCAAAGACUGGCAGUUUAGAUCUCCCGAGCCUACCCAUCAUUUAAGACACUGAAGACAAGCCAGCUCAGAUUUUUGAAGACAACAAAUCUCAGGAUCUAUGUUCUUAGACCUCAAUCUUCAGCAUGAGUUUCCAUUUGUGUUACUGAAUGUAUCAUCACUGUUAAGGUUUCUAAGAUAACCUUACAAAACCCCUAUAGAUCCGAACAAAAAAGGGAAUCUCCCAAAGAGGUGCUCAGACAAUCCGAGAGAUGCAUUUCCAUUUGGAUGGGGCUGCAGAUGGAAUCUAGCAUUGCUCCACAGCUGCCUUUUUCAUACCAGCAGUGUGAAAGCUGAGCUGCAGAGUAAGCACACCACUAACUGAGACUCUUACAGAAAAGUGCAGUAACAAUAAGCUGGGAUUCAGUUACCAAAUGGUGUAAUACUGCACAUCCUUCACUUCUGUACAUGUUAGAAGAAACGUGGAGCAUUAUUGUCAGGGAGCCCACUGCUUUCUUAUAGAUUCAAUUAAUUUAAUUUUACUGUGAUUUGAGAACACCUUUUGCCAAAGUGAAACCAUUACAUUAGCUAGAAGCAAAAGACCUAUUAGCAGAACUUAUUAGAUUAUGUGUCCGGAUAUUAUCUUUAUCAUGGUCUUCUACCUAUUGAGUAGAAUAUUUAAGAGGUAACGCUGAACCACCACUAGGUUUUAUUUCAUUAAUUCAACACCCCCAGAUACACUGCACGUCCUUUUUCACCUGCAUGUGGAUAAAAAUAUCUAACACUUGUAGUGCAGGUAAAGUGUCAAUAUUUUCUUAUUCCACAAGACACAGUAAUUUUAAUGAAAAAAGGUUUUGCAUUCCACAGGAUGGCUUUUACAACACCAGGGAAGAGAUGGGAGAUCAACAUCUCAGAUGUCACACCUAGCAAUGUGCAUAAUCCUAAAAUAAUGAGGCUCUUUCAGCACUUUGUUAUGCAGACAAUUGAAAGCAUAGGUGAUACUGACAGAUGGUUUCAUGCUUCAACACUGGCAACAGCUGCAGCAGUUCAGAGUAAAAUGUGUUUUUCCGGAAAUAUUUGCUGUAAUACUGUGAGAUGAUUCAUGUUUGACCAAACAUUUUGCAUUAAUACCCAUACAGAUUCUCUUGGUGUUUCUUCAGCUCUUUUUUCCUUGAACUCUUUGCUGUAUAUACAGUUCAAGACCCUGAGAUGUAACUCAUCUGCUUUAGAAAGGAAUUGGACUACAGACACUGAGAGAAGGCCCUAAUAACUAAAUUCUUCUAUGAUGCUACAGGCAGGUGCUCCAGGUAGCUGCUGGCACCGUGUGCACCAUCACAGUCUCCUGUACCUGCUCUGCACUCAACUAGAACAGUCACAGUUCUUUAGUGUUAAACCUUAAAUUUGGAAGUCCAAAAUUUCAGUUCAUCUCUUGAUAAGAAUUUGGAUCUUGGGGGAUUUGCACUCAGUAAGGACGUGCUGGGUACCUAUCCUAACGUGAUCCUCUCUCUUGAUCAUCUUGAAGCUGAGUGUGAGAUUUGCCAGAAGUUCCCUUGAUUGUUCUGCCUCUCAAAGGUGAGAGUUGAUGGCUUUGCAGUGGUAUCAGCUGCCUCCCUCAGCUCCCCUGGAUUCACAGGGUUUGGUUCCACAGACACCUGGGUCCAAACAGCUUUGAAACUGUUUCCUCUACUGUGGGUAGUUGCUCAUUCUCACAGACCUCCCUAGUGAGGGCUCAGGGACGAGGGAAAGCAAGUCUCACACCCAAGAGUGAAGCAGAGAUGACCUCUGCCUUUUCCAUGCCCUUGUCAAUAGAAUUCCUGCCCCACUGAGCAGCUGGAAAGCCUACGGAAAAUGUGCUCUUUUGCUGCCAGCAUACUUUUGAAAAGCUCUUCAUAUUUGUCUUUAUAGCCCUCAACAUUUUCAGUGCCAUUUGAGCUUUAGUUUCCCUAAUUUCUCUUCUGAAUGUUUGGUCAAUAUCCUUUCAUUUCACACAAGUAACCCAUACCCUCCUUCCACCUUUUUUUUGCUUCUUUCUGCAGCUGAGCUUAGGCAAGAAUUCUUGUUUAC